rnacentral:rRNA from 1 species
GACGAACGCUGGCGGCGUGCUUAACACAUGCAAGUCGAACGGAAAGGCCCUGCUUUUGUGGGGUGCUCGAGUGGCGAACGGGUGAGUAACACGUGAGUAACCUGCCCUUGACUUUGGGAUAACUUCAGGAAACUGGGGCUAAUACCGGAUAGGAGCUCCUGCUGCAUGGUGGGGGUUGGAAAGUUUCGGCGGUUGGGGAUGGACUCGCGGCUUAUCAGCUUGUUGGUGGGGUAGUGGCUUACCAAGGCUUUGACGGGUAGCCGGCCUGAGAGGGUGACCGGCGACAUUGGGACUGAGAUACGGCCCAGACUGCUACGGGAGGCAGCAGUGGGGAAUAUUGCACAAUGGGCGGAAGCCUGAUGCAGAAACGCCGCGUGCGGGAUGACGGCCUUCGGGUUGUAAACCGCUGUCGCCUGUGACGAAGCGUGAGUGACGGUAAUGGGUAAAGAAGCACCGGCUAACUACGUG